rnacentral:rRNA from 1 species
GGUGACAGGUGGUGCAUGGUUGUCGUCAGCUCGUGUCGUGAGAUGUUCGGUUAAGUCCGAUAACGAGCGCAACCCUUAUCUUUAGUUGCUAACAUUUAGUUGAGAACUCUAGAGAUACUGCCGGUGACAAACCGGAGGAAGGUGGGGAUGACGUCAAAUCAUCAUGCCCCUUAUGUGCUGGGCUACACACGUAAUACAAUGGCCGUUAACAAAGGGAAGCAAUCCCGCGAGGAGGAGCAAAACCCCAAAAACGGUCCCAGUUCGGACUGCAGGCUGCAACCCGCCUGCACGAAGUUGGAAUUGCUAGUAAUCGCAGAUCAGCAUGCUGCGGUGAAUACGUUCCCGGGUCUUGUACACACGC